AUGCAGGAUAAGUUACAAUACAGCUGUGUAGUGCUGUGUUGUCGUUCCCCCUGCAUAAAAUAAUCUGUUUCCUACUAUCCCUGUCUGUUUUUUGUACCUUACCCCAGCAGGCAGGGACGCUUGGUCUCAAACAG